rnacentral:rRNA from 1 species
GACGUAGGAGGCGAGCGUUGUCCGGAUUCAUUGGGCGUAAAGAGCGCGCAGGCGGCUUGGUUAGUCGGAUGUGAAAAUCCGGGGCUCAACCCCGGACCUGCAUCCGAUACUGCCAGGCUAGAGGCAGGUAGGGGAGAUCGGAAUUCCUGGUGUAGCGGUGAAAUGCGCAGAUAUCAGGAGGAACACCGGUGGCGAAGGCGGAUCUCUGGGCCUGUCCUGACGCUCAGGCGCGAAAGCUAGGGGAGCAAACAGG